GAGAGAUAUUGGAGGGUGAUUCUGGGGAAAUGAGGGGGUGCUUUUGGGGUGACCGUUUUUGGGUCUAGCUUGAGGGUGAAGCAAGCUACCGGAGGGAGAGUUUUUCGGAAAGAGAUUUUUUUUGGUGGCUAGUGAAACAGAGGAAGAGCAUUUUUUUCAGGGAGGGUGAGCUUUGAGAGGACUAGUGAGAGAGAGGUAUUCCGGUGGCUGGUUGCUUGAGAGGAAAGGCAACUGAGAGAAAACAGAGGAAGAAGAGAAGUGGAAGGCCCUGGUGAGUUGAGUUUGAAAAUCACGGGAAAACAGCUCGAAGGGAACCAGAGUGAGAGAGAAAGAGCUAUACAUUUGAAGAGAAGAAGAGGGUCUGCUGAUUCAUUAAUUUAGUUGAUUUUGGAGGAGGAUUUAGGGCGUUUGAAACAGAACAACGCAGAGCCAAGCUGGUCCUGCUAGUAGGGAGGCAACCCGCAGUGUUCACUCUGAUUGUUGUCAUUGCUGUUUAUUUCCUACAUUUGUGCUGUGGUUGGUCGUUCGAUCUGGGGGUUAAAAAAAAGAAUGUAUGAAGCUAUGCUUGUGGUAAUUGCUGUUGCUUUGGGGAAAUCAAGCAGAUGGGUUUUCUGGAGUAGCCUGCAGGAGGUAUUUUGAGAGAGCUACAGAGGAGGGAUAUUCUGGUGUGAUUGUUUUAAGGGAGGAUUGCAGGUUGUCUGAGAAGGUGGUUGAGAGGAUAAAGGAGCGUCUGGGGCAGCAAA